rnacentral:rRNA from 1 species
UUGGUUAAGUUAGAAAGGGCGCACGGUGGAUGCCUUGGCACUAGGAGCCGAAGAAGGACGGGACUAACACCGAUAUGCUUUGGGGAGCUGUACGUAAGCGUUGAUCCAGAGAUUUCCGAAUGGGGGAACCCACUAUCUUUAGUCGGAUAGUAUCCUUACGUGAAUACAUAGCGUGAGGAAGGCAGACCCAGGGAACUGAAACAUCUAAGUACCUGGAGGAAGAGAAAGAAAAAUCGAUUUCCUGAGUAGCGGCGAGCGAAACGGAAAGAGCCCAAACCAAGAAGCUUGCUUCUUGGGGUUGUAGGACACUCUAUACGGAGUUACAAAAGAAAGUUAUAAAUGAAGCGGUCUGGAAAGGCCCGCCAAAGACGGUAACAGCCCGGUAGUUGAAAUGGCUUUCCCUCCAGAGUGGAUCCUGAGUACGGCGGAACACGUGAAAUUCCGUCGGAAUCCGGGAGGACCAUCUCCCAAGGCUAAAUACUCCCUAGUGACCGAUAGUGAACCAGUACCGUGAGGGAAAGGUGAAAAGCACCCCGGAAGGGGAGUGAAACAGUUCCUGAAACCGUGUGCCUACAAGUAGUUAGAGCCCGUUAAUGGGUGAUAGCGUGCCUUUUGUAGAAUGAACCGGCGAGUUACGAUUUGUUGCAAGGUUAAGCGGAAAAAGCGGAGCCGUAGCGAAAGCGAGUCUGAAUAGGGCGCAUAAGUAACAGGUCGUAGACCCGAAACCAGGUGAUCUACCCAUGUCCAGGAUGAAGGUAAGGUAAUACUUACUGGAGGUCCGAACCCACGCACGUUGAAAAGUGCGGGGAUGAGGUGUGGGUAGCGGAGAAAUUCCAAUCGAACUUGGAGAUAGCUGGUUCUCUCCGAAAUAGCUUUAGGGCUAGCCUCGAGGUAAAGAGUCAUGGAGGUAGAGCACUGUUUGGACUAGGGGCCCUUCUCGGGUUACCGAAUUCAGAUAAACUCCGAAUGCCAUGUACUUAUACUCGGGAGUCAGACUGCGAGUGAUAAGAUCCGUAGUCGAAAGGGAAACAGCCCAGACCACCAGUUAAGGUCCCCAAAUAUAUGUUAAGUGGAAAAGGAUGUGGGGUUGCUUAGACAACCAGGAUGUUGGCUUAGAAGCAGCCACCAUUGAAAGAGUGCGUAAUAGCUCACUGGUCGAGUGACCCCGCGCCGAAAAUGUACCGGGGCUAAACAUAUUACCGAAACUGUGGAUGAACCUCUUUAGAGGUUCGUGGUAGGAGAGCGUUCUAAGGGCGGUGAAGUCAGACCGGAAGGACUGGUGGAGCGCUUAGAAGUGAGAAUGCCGGUAUGAGUAGCGAAAGAAGGGUGAGAAUCCCUUCCACCGAAUAUCUAAGGUUUCCUGAGGAAGGCUCGUCCGCUCAGGGUUAGUCGGGACCUAAGCCGAGGCCGAUAGGCGUAGGCGAUGGACAACAGGUAGAGAUUCCUGUACCAGUGCUAAUUGUU